rnacentral:rRNA from 1 species
UGAGGAAUAUUGGUCAAUGGGCGAGAGCCUGAACCAGCCAAGUAGCGUGCAGGAUGACGGCCCUAUGGGUUGUAAACUGCUUUUAUAUGGGAAUAAAGUGAGGGACGUGUCCCUUAUUGCAUGUACCAUACGAAUAAGGACCGGCUAAUUCCGUGCCAGCAGCCGCGGUAAUACGGAAGGUCCAGGCGUUAUCCGGAUUUAUUGGGUUUAAAGGGAGCGUAGGCUGUUUGUUAAGCGUGUUGUGAAAUGUAAGAGCUCAACUUUUAGAUUGCAGCGCGAACUGGCAGACUUGAGUGCGCACAACGUAGGCGGAAUUCAUGGUGUAGCGGUGAAAUGCUUAGAUAUCAUGACGAACUCCGAUUGCGAAGGCAGCUUACGGGAGCGAAACUGACGCUAAAGCUCGAAGGUGCGGGUAUCGAACAGG